AAAGUCUGAUAAAUCUUCAAAUUGUGGAUUUUAUUUUGAGAGAUCUUAUAGUUAGAUUUUUUUUUCGAUAUAUAGUAUGAGAAUUGGCUAGAAAAAGUUCAUUAUCCCUCAUACACUCUAAUGUUGAACUAUCGACAAAACAUUUGCUUACAUCAAGGUGGUGAACUUCAAUUUUGCCGCUCCGAAUUCAUCUCUAAGUUAUACCGUAAAUGGUAUGUAUCCUCCGAUAACAACAUUUCAGUUGUUUCAAAUUUGUGUUCAAAGGACAAGAGGAGGUGGUAUUCCUUAUGAUUUAGUUGACUAAUCAAUAAGUUUGUAUUUCAUUUAUAUAAAUUUAUGUAAAUUAUGCCCAUUUCCUCAUUUUUCCAUUUAUGUACUUGAAAAGAAAAACAUUAACAGUCAUGUCUUUUAAUCUUUUUAAUUAGCCUCUCUCUUCCUCUUCCAAGAGUCGUGCCUUUUAAUCUCCACAAUAGGUUUAUCCCUUUCAAAAUUGUAGUGGCGUUAGUCAUUUUAAGAAUAGGAAUAUUCUUAUAGUGUGCCUAUUUUCCUUUUUGCUGUUGUUAAUUCUUAUCAGAAGGUAUUGUUCAUUCGUUACUUUAUUGGACUAACUUUUUGUGAUUUUUAAUUUUUUUUAUUUUUCUUUCAGAUCCAUGUAAUGAUAUUCAACAUGUUCAAUUGGAAAAGACAAAUAAUUUUGACAUGUUUAAAAUCAUUGUUUUGGUCAUUCAGAGUAUGGCUAUUUUUAUAAUUUGCGUUUUUAUUUCCUUUUGUUUUGUUAAUCGAAAGGUAAUUGUGAUUAUUUUUCUUAUUUUUCUUUAUAUUUGCUUUUGGGUAAUUCUUUUGGGAUUUUAAUGCACUAAGCGAGAGGGUCGAGAUAAGCAAAUAGAGUAAGUGUUAUGUUCUUAUUCCCCUCUUUCUCCAUGUCUUUCCUUACUUUUUAGUCAACUAGGACAUUUAUGCUUAUUAGCAUGUUAGUUGUACUUCCUGUGCAUUUCUAUUGUAAAAUUUCUCUUCCUUGGUCGAAAAAAAAGUUUGAACUAAAUAUAGGAAUUAAUGCCUAUACCUUUAUUUUACUUAUCUACGUCAACUUUUUUACUUUUAUUUUUA